rnacentral:rRNA from 1 species
GACGAACGCUGGCGGCGUGCCUAAUACAUGCAAGUCGAACGCUGAAGGAGGAGCUUGCUUCUCUGGAUGAGUUGCGAACGGGUGAGUAACGCGUAGGUAACCUGCCUGGUAGCGGGGGAUAACUAUUGGAAACGAUAGCUAAUACCGCAUAAUAGUAGAUGUUGCAUGACAUUUGCUUAAAAGGUGCAAUUGCCUCACUACCAGAUGGACCUGCGUUGUAUUAGCUAGUUGGUGGGGUAACGGCUCACCAAGGCGACGAUACAUAGCCGACCUGAGAGGGUGAUCGGCCACACUGGGACUGAGACACGGCCCAGACUCCUACGGGAGGAAGCAGUAGGGAAUCUUCGGCAAUGGACGGAAGUCUGACCGAGCAACGCCGCGGGAGUGAAGAAGGUUGUCGGAUCGUAAAGCUCUGUUGUAAGAGAAGAACGAGUGUGAGAGUGGAAAGUUCACAAUGUGACGGUAGCUUACCAGAAAGGGACGGCUAACUACGUG